CACGGGGGGAGCAAGCGUUGUUCGGAAUUACUGGGCGUAAAGGGCUCGUAGGCGGCCAACUAAGUCAGACGUGAAAUCCCUCGGCUUAACCGGGGAACUGCGUCUGAUACUGGAUGGCUUGAAUCCGGGAGAGGGAUGCGGAAUUCCAGGUGUAGCGGUGAAAUGCGUAGAUAUCUGGAGGAACACCGGUGGCGAAGGCGGCAUCCUGGACCGGCAUUGACGCUGAGGAGCGAAAGCCAGGGGAGGCCAAA
rnacentral:rRNA from 1 species